ACACUACUCCCUCCGUCCAAUAAAAGAUAUCUUAAGUUUGUCAAAAUUUGGAUGUAUCUAGACAUGACUUAGUAUAUAGAUGCAUUCAAAUUUUGUCAAAGUUGAGACAUCCUUUAUUGGACGGAAGGAGUACAUG
rfam:Brachypodium distachyon strain Bd21 chromosome 3, whole genome shotgun sequence.